CCCAGACUCCUACGGGAGGCAGCAGUGGGGGAUAUUGCACAAUGGGGGGAACCCUGAUGCAGCGACGCCGCGUGGGUGAAGGAGCGUUUCGGCGCGUAAAGCCCUAUCGGCAGGGAAGAAGGAGGACGGUACCUGACUAAGAAGCCCCGGCUAACUACGUGCCAGCAGCCGCGGUAAUACGUAGGGGGCAAGCGUUAUCCGGAGUUACUGGGUGUAAAGGGGGCGCAGACGGCAGCGCAAGCCAGGAGUGAAAGCCCGGGGCCCAACCCCGGGACUGCUCUUGGAACUGCGCGGCUGGAGUGCAGGAGGGGCAGGCGGAAUUCCUGGUGUAGCGGUGAAAUGCGUAGAUAUCAGGAGGAACACCGGUGGCGAAGGCGGCCUGCUGGACUGCGACUGACGUUGAGGCCCGAAAGCGUGGGGAGCAAACAGGAUUAGAUACCCCGGUA
rnacentral:rRNA from 1 species